UGAAUUGUAGUUCAAUCGGUCAAAGCAUCGCCCCGUCAAGGCGGAAACUGUGGGUUCGAGCCCCGUCAGUCCCG
rnacentral:tRNA from 1 species